UACGUUCCCAGGCCUUGUACACACCGCCCGUCACAUCAUGAAAGCCGGUUGUACCCGAAGUCGCCCCUGAAAAGGUGCCGAAGGUAAGGCUGGUGAUUGGGAUG
rnacentral:rRNA from 1 species